rnacentral:rRNA from 1 species
UCACUAUAAAUUGAUUAGUAUUUAUUUAUUAAUUAAAUUAGUGGUUUUAUUUUUUUAUUAAAAAUAUUUAUAAAAAAGUUAGUUUUAGUAUUAAUUAGAAAAAAUAAUUUAAAUUAUAGUGUAUUAGUAACGUAAGUGAAAAUUGAAAUAAGUGAAAAAUUUUUAUUAAAAAAGAAAAUUUUAUUUAUUGUACCUUGUGUAUCAGGGUUUACUAAAUAAAUCAUAAAGAUAUAUAUUUCUCGAUUUUAAAAGAUUUAACAAUUUAAUUAAGUUAAUGUAGCAAAAUUAUUUUAAAUAAAUUGUUGGAAAUGAAAAGUUAUUCGUUUUUAAAGGUAUCUAGUUUUCUUAUAAAUAAAUUUAAUUUAGAAUUUAUAAACUUUUAAUUUUUCAUUAAUAAAAUUAAAAUUUAUAAAUUUAGUAUUUUAUGGGAUAAGCUAUAAAAUAAAUUAUUAAAAACAUUAAAUUAAUUUAAAUAAAGUAAGCUUAGAAAUAGCUAUCUUUAAUAAGUUUGUUAUAAUUUAAUUUAUUAGAUAAAUUAUUUAUUUUGUUUUAAAUUUAUAUAAGAAAAAUUCUUUAAAUUUUUACAAGAAAGUUAUAAUGAUAAAAUUAGUAUAAAAAUAUGUUAUAUAAAAAUAUAAGAAAAGUAUAAAUAAAGAACUCGGCAAAAUAAUAUCCGCCUGUUUAACAAAAACAUGUCCUUUUGGAAUUUAUUUAAGGUCUAACCUGCCCAAUGAAAAUUGAAUGGCCGCAGUAUCCUAACUGUGCAAAGGUAGCAUAGUCAUUAGUCUUUUAAUUGAAGGCUGGAAUGAAUGGUUGGACGAGGUAUUAACUGUUUCAUUUAUAAUUUUUAUAGAAUUUUAUUUUUUAGUUAAAAAGCUAAAAUUUUUUUAAAAGACGAGAAGACCCUAUAAAUCUUUAUAUUAAUUUCCAUAUAAUUUUUAUAGAAAAGUUAUAGUUUUAUGAAAAUUAAUAUUUUAUUGGGGUGAUAGUAAAGUUUAAAAAACUUUUACAUUUUUGAUUUCAUUAAUUUAUGAAUUAUUGAUCCUUUAUUAAAGAUUAUUAAAAUAAGUUACUUUAGGGAUAACAGCGUAAUUUUUCUGGAGAGUUCAUAUCGAUAAAAAAGAUUGCGACCUCGAUGUUGGAUUAAGAGAUAACUUUAGGUGUAGAAGCUUAAAAGUUAAGUCUGUUCGACUUU